AUGGUGAACCUGGGCGUGCGGCGGGUGGAGGAUGAAGUGGCCACCAAGCACCCGGCGCUGCAGCAGUACGCGGCCUGCCAGUCUCACGCCUUCAUGAAGGGCAUCGGCACCUUCCUGGCAGGCGGCGGGGCCGCCUUUGCGGCGCAAAAGGUGGCGCAGCAGAAGCUGCCGUACAGCCCGCAGUGGAGCCUGCUGCUGGCUGUGGCUGCAGGGACCCUCGGAAGUUACGUGGUAACCAGAGCUGAGACGCAAAAAUGCUCCAACUUCUGGAUUUACCUGGAGACAGGCAAGUCCCCACAGGAGCUCGCCGUGACUGAUGGGGUGUCUCAGCCCUCAGAAAACCUCCCCAGUGCAGAGGACAGGGAUGGCAGUGCAACGUUGGUGAGGAAGAACAGGUACGGCGAUGUGGUGGACUAGCCAGCAGCGCUUAGCAUGCUGUGCUCAUGUCCUGCUUCACCCCAUCUUGCCUGCCCAGCCCGACACCGCCCAUGUGCCUUGGUGACACUGAUGGAAAGCUCAGAAGACUUGAUCCUGCAGCAAGAGUGUGGUGGAGGAACCUCAUGGAUUGCUGUUGCCUGGCCUAUGGCCUCUGCAAAUUGCACUGCAGCUCUGAUCCAGCUACAACUGAAUUUCUUAGAAGAGGAAACCCAGCCUGAAUUCUGGGAGCUGCCUGGGUUCUUAGAGCAGCAUUUCCACUUCAGGAACCAGAAGUGCCUUCUCCAUGUGAGAUAUGUCCACAGGCCCAGAACCUCACCACAGGAGGGCAUCCCUGUGCUGAGGAGAUGGG